GGUCACACAUCCAGGUGAAGGGUCACACAGCCAGGUGAAGGGUCACACAGCCAGGUGAAGGGUCACACAUCCAGGUGAAGGGUCACACAUCCAGGUGAAGGGUCACACAGCCAGGUAAAGGGUGGUUGACAUCCAGGUGAAGGGUCACACAUCCAGGUGAAGGGUCACACAUCCAGGUGAAGGGUCACACAUCCAGGUGAAGGGUCACACAGCCAGGUGAAGGGUCACACAUCCAGGUGAAGGGUCACACAUCCAGGUGAAGGGUCACACAUCCAGGUGAAGGGUCACACAUCCAGGUGAAGGGUCACACAUCCAGGUGAAGGGUCACACAUCCAGAUGAAGGGUCACACAUCCAGGUGAAGGGUCACACAUCCAGAUGAAGGGUGGUUGAC